GCGGACGUGGUGGAACUGGUAGACACGCUAUCUUGAGGGGGUAGUGGCGAAAGCCGUGUGGGUUCGAGUCCCACCGUCCGCACCA
rnacentral:tRNA from 5 species